rnacentral:lncRNA from 1 species
CCGCCCAGGCCAGGUUGCCUUGGAUGGAGCGGAGCUCGGCGAGCUCGUCCGGGGAGGGGGCGGCCGCCGCGGCGGCGCGCUCGGCGAGGCGACGGACGCCGGAGAGGACGGCCUUGGAGGCGGAGAGGGCGAGGGCGAGGAGGGAGGCGAGUGUCCGAGUGGAGUCGGAUAGGAGGGAGGAGGGCGAACGGGGGGUGACGGUGGCGCGAGCGCGGAGACGGAGGUCUCCGGGGCGCGGAGAGCGGUGGGGGAGGCGGAGCAGAGAAGGCGGUGGAGAGGGCCGGUGGCGGAGGAAGAGGGUAGGGUUAGGGCAUGGGAAGGCGGCGGUGGAGACGGCGGAGGCCAUUGUUAUGCUCGGGC